AUUUUCCCCAACGUCUGGUUUAUGUUUUGGGAAGCUCUUGACAGGUACUAGCAGGAACAAGCUUCUUAAGAACCAGCUCAGUAGCUAAGGAAGGAGAGGGCUCGGCACCUCUCACGUUGGUGCUGAGGCUGCGGUUCGGCUGCUGCUUAACCAAGUCAGGGAGCCGAGGUUUCUGCAGGAAAGACUCAUCGGCAGGGACCUGCUUCUCACGCGGUCCGUGUGCCAGCGGUGCUUGGUCCUUAGAUGGAGGUCUCUGCGUCCUGGAAUCUGGAAAUGCUGCAUGAAGUCACACUUUUCUUCCUUUGCCUCAGGAUUCCAGUGUGUUCCGAGUUUUAAAUGACCAUUUCAGCCAGAGAGUUCAAGAGUCGGGCCGGGCGCAGUGGCUCACUCCUGUAAUCCCAGCACUUUGGGAGGGCGAGGCUGGUGGAUCACCUGAGGUUGGGAGUUCGAGACCAGCAUGGCCAACGUGGCGAAAACCCAUCUCUACUAAAAAUACAAAAAUGAGUCACGCAUGGUUGCAGAUACCUAUAAUCCCAGCGACUUGCGAGGCUGAGGCAGGAGAAUCACUUGAACCUGGGGAGCGGAGGUUGAGCCUGCCACCUGGAGGCCUCGUCUGGAUAAGAAGAAGCUUGGUCUCCACAACCCCUUGUCUUAACCCAGACACUCCUUUCUACUGAUUCCAGCUCUUUAGAUAAUAACUGGACUCUUUCAACCAACUGCCAAUCAGAAAAUCUUCAAAUCCACUUCUUCUGCCCCUGCCAAUUGCUAUCCCAUCAGUAAAAUAGAACAUGCAGACGCUGGCUAAGUUUCACUGUGGCUGGGUAGCAAACUCACUCGCAUCACAGUCUCAUGGAUGAAACACACGUGACUUCUCAGUUUCUCGACAAGUGAUCGCAUCUCACUCCUGAGCCUGAACCUGCCAGCGCUAGGAAUGGGGCAGGACUGCGAAUCAAGAUUUUGUUCAACCGAAUUUAUUAAUUUAAAAUCUCUUCUUCAGUAAGUGCUCCGUUUCCUCAAUGCUUGGUUGCCCACAUUGCCUCUCUCUCCUCUUUCCACCAUUUCUCAGCACAAAGGGAACAGAACAACAGUUUGCUCCCCUCCCAUCCAUUGCAUCCUCCUCCUGCUCUACAGCAGCGGGGGUCUCCUGGCCAUGCCCUCCAGGCACAAAGACAGCCCACCUCCCAUCCUGGACCAAUCGUGUGAUCACAGACCUCCAGGCUGAGUUCCGCAUAUGCUUAAGAGAUUCAUAAAAUUCUCUCUUCUCUCUCUCUCUCUUCCUCACUUUUGCUCACUCUUAUUCUUUCACUUAUCCUUGCUCUCAUCCUCUCUCCAAAGUCUAGCCUGUGGUCUUACUGUCUUGCUGCAGACAGCAACAAAAAUCAGGUUUGACUGUCCCAGCAUAUACCUGUAAACUGGAAGAGCAGGAAGCCACUUUUCCCUUGCAGGGGAGGGAAGACAACCCCCCUGCUCUCUGAAGGUUUGAUAACUGAGUCUAUGAAAUACGCAGACAGUAGGCAGAUGAGUGGGAGAAAAGGCAAACACAUGUAUUAUAUGCACAGGGGCAGCCCAGGGAAGAAAAGUGAGUGCCCAAACCCAGUGUGGUCUGGAAGCCCACAAACCUCUUCCCAGGGAAAGAGGGGAGGUGCGGGAAGCCUGGGGUGAGAGAAUGACCUGGGGGAAGGUGAAUGGGUGAUGCCUGUGACUGAGUCUGCCUGGAUGUCCUGUGGACCCCAAGUCUCUCCUGGAUAAUCCUCCCAGGUUGAUGAGAUUCCCAGGGAGGAGAUGCAUGACAAUUGAGCUCCUGUUGGAGAGUUGGGUUUUUAGGCAGAUAGGCAGGUUCAGAGAAAGCCCCUCCCUGCAUUGCUGCUCCUCCAGUGCCCUCCAUUUGAAGCAAUCAGUAUAUUUUGCGGUCGCAUUUCCUGAACCCUUUUACUCUUGGAGCACUGCAACCCACAGCUUCAAUGACUGGGACACCCAGAGCAUGAAGAUUUACGGGAAAUGGAAAAAUAUGCCUUCAAGUACAUCUCAAAAGACACUGUGCUCAUUAUGAACCAUCUACAAUAUGAAGGGAGAUGAGCAUAAGGAGUUUUCUUUUUCCUCCCCUUCCUCCUUCGUGAAUAGCCUCAAAUUUCAUUAAAAAAUGUCUGAGAGAUGUGUUUAUCCAAAUGACACAGCUGUAGGAGGGGAGGUCAUUAGGAAGAAGUUCCAUGGAAAAGAGGAAAAUGAAGGUUGAUUGUUACCAAUAAAUUAG
rnacentral:lncRNA from 10 species